rnacentral:lncRNA from 10 species
CUGCCCGCGGGUCACUGCCAGGAUCCUGCAAGCAGCCAGCGGGCACCGCUGUCACCACAUUUCACACUCUGAGGAGCUCUGGGCACAGCCUCCAGGGAAAGCCUGGCUGCCGACUCUGGCCCCCUGACUCCUGAAUCCUGCGAGUCACACGGCGGCACGGCCUGCAUAUCGGGGAGGAUGGCAGGCUGGGCUGUCCUGAGGGGGCAUUCCCGUGAUGACUGAAAGAAGAAGUGGCAGCGUCACAGCUGAAGGGAGGCUGUCAGAGUGACCAGAGUGGCCAGUCCAGAGGAGACGGGUGGGGCAAAGUCUCCAGGAGGCCAGGAGAUGCCUUCAAGAAAAGAAAUGGAAAGGAGUGAUGACCUGAUGCGUGUGAGAACACGGGGACGAGCCUUGCGGCUCCGUGGGAGAGCUUGGGUGAGGACCACC